GGCGGUCUUCCCCGAUCCGACCCAACCCGGGCCAGGCGCCAAGCCCUGGAGCAAGGAGGCGCCUGGGCAGAGCGAGGCUGAGGGAGUGGAGCAUGCGCCUGGGACUUGCAAUGAUGAAACAGGGCCAUUGGCAAAGCUGGGGUACCAGUCACCCAGCCACGCUCUAGGGUGGUAGCCAAGAAGACGGACCCCGAGUGGGAGAGACAAGAGCUGGAUGAAGCAGAGCAAGCGUGAGCAUGGUGAAGAGAAGACGGAGCCCCGCGCUGGGAGAGGAACGCUUCAGUCCGAGUUCCAUUCUGCACCCAAGGCUCCCCUUGGUCCUCCUGGGAACCAGGGUGCCCCUUAGUGGUGGUGGCCCAGGAGAACCCGACCAAGGCAGGAGCGCCCCCUCCUGGAAGAGCCUCGCUUCAACGCAUCAUCAUUCCCGGCCGGCAGCAGGGGCGACGCCAGCAAGGCCAACGACUCAGAGCCAGCUUGGCCCGUUCGCCCCGCCCCUUCCCGGUGUCCGCCCCGCCCCUUCCCGGUGUCCGCCCCGCCCCCUUCCCGGUGUCCGCCCCGCCUCCUUCCCGGUGUCCGCCCCGCCCCCUUCCCUGUGUCCGCCCUGCCCGCUUCACUGUGGUCCUGCCUCUGGGUGGUGCCGGGGCGGGGGUGGGAGCCCGGGGCCCGCGCAGGCGGAGCCGCCGCCCAAUGGGAAGGGUCGGUGGGGAAGGGGGUAGGCGCAGGCGGGUGGGCGGGAAGAACGCUGGAGGUUGAUUGGCGGUCUUGCCGGCCAGUGAAGCCAGGGCGUGGGCGGGGCGCGGCUCGGAGCGCGAAACAUGGCGGGGCAGGAAGCUGGCUGCGGCCGUGGCGGCGACGACUACUCAGAGGACGAGGGCGACAGCAGCGUGUUCAGGGCGGCUGUGGAGGUGUUCGGGAAGCUGAAGGACCUAAACUGCCCCUUCCUCGAGGGUCUGUAUAUCACAGAGCCAAAGACAAUUCAGGAACUGCUGUGCAGCCCCUCAAAGUACCGCUUGGAGAUCCUAGAGUGGAUGUGUACCCGGGUCUGGCCCUCACUGCAGGACAGGUUCAGCUCACUGAAAGGGGUCCCAACAGAGGUGAAGAUCCAAGAAAUGACGAAGCUGGGCCAUGAGCUGAUGCUGUGUGCGCCACAUGACCAGGAGCUCCUCAAGGGCUGUGCCUGCGCCCAGAAGCAGCUACACUUCAUGGACCAGUUGCUCGAUGCCAUCCGGAGCCUGACCAUUGGGUGCUCCAGUUGCUCGAGGUACAGGUGUGGAUGGCCCAGCCUGAUGGAGCACUUCGAGGACACCAGGGAGAAGAACGAGGCCUUGCUGGGGGAGCUCUUCUCUAGCCCCCACCUGCAGAUGCUCCUGAAUCCAGAGUGCGACCCGUGGCCCCUGGACAUGCAGCCCCUCCUCAACAAGCAGAGUGAUGACUGGCAGUGGGCCAGUGCCUCUGCCAAGUCCGAGGAGGAGGAGAAGCUGGCGGAGCUUGCCAGGCAGCUGCAGGAGAGCGCUGCCAAGUUGCACGCGCUUAGAACGGAGUACUUUGCACAGCAUGAGCAAGGGGCCGCUGCGGGCGCAGCCGACAUCAGCACCCUAGACCAGAAGCUGCGUCUGGUCACCUCCGACUUCCACCAGCUAAUCUUGGCUUUUCUCCAAGUCUACGACGAUGAGCUGGGCGAGUGCUGCCAGCGCCCAGGCCCUGACCUCCACCCGUGCGGCCCCAUCAUCCAGGCCACGUACCAGAAUCUGACUUCCUACAGCCAACGAGAGGCUCUGAGCCUUCCAACCUCUGACUGGCUGGUCCUGUGAGACUCCUCGAUCAGGGAUGGUGAGGCCACAGCCCUCUCCUGUCCAUUUUUCUUGGGACAUUUAUUUUCCCCCUUUGCCAAUUGCUGGGGCUGGGAGGACACGCAGUGCUGGCUGGCAUGUCCCUAGGCAUCGAGGGUUGCCAGAGCGACAUGAGAGUGUGGCAUCCCCACUGGGCCAGGAAGAGGGGACUUAGGUCCGAGAACUCUGAUUGGUGACUUCCCCGCUGGGAGUUCUGUCCCUCACCCUUGGCUGUCUUUCGGCUGCUGCAAGUGGUCGUGGCAGUUGCUGACACCUCUGCGAAAGCCGUGGAGACCGUGAAGAAGCAGCAAGGCGAGCAGAUCUGCUGGGGCGGCAGCAGCUCCAUCAUGAGUCUAG